rnacentral:lncRNA from 1 species
CCUUUCCCCUUCUUCUGACCAAGAGUUCUCUGAUCAUGAGUCCUCUGAUCAAGAACACUCUGACCCAAACUCCCCAACAAUAGCUGAAAUUUAUGCUAAAAAUUUCGCCCCACAAACUCAAACACAAACUGAAGUAACCUCUCCCCUCCGAACUUCUAUUCCACAACAAACAACCACCAUUACCUCUGAAAAUCAAACUUCCC